CCUGCUUUAUGUAUUCCCUCUGUGGUAUUUCUCUCGUGCUAAUGGUGCAGGUCCUUAGCUCUUUGUCUUCUCUGGUCCCUGCCUAGCUGUCCUGGGGACACAGGGUUGGGAUGAGUGGAUACAUGGAGGAGUGGGUAUGGGGCUACCGCUCAGCUGGGCAGAGUCAUGGGUGGCUUAAGCAGUUCCUCCCAUUUCUCACUCCUUUUUCUGGCUGCUGUGCUCCUGCAGUGACAGCUCUUUAUUGCCAAGCCUCGCAUUCAGACUGAUCUGAAAAUCAGGGAGCCCCAUGUGCCUGCUGUGAGACUUGGACAGGGC